rnacentral:rRNA from 1 species
CCAGACUCCUACGGGAGGCAGCAGUGGGGAAUAUUGCACAAUGGGGGAAACCCUGAUGCAGCGACGCCGCGUGAGUGAAGAAGUAAUUCGUUACGUAAAGCUCUAUCAGCAGGGAAGAUAAUGACGGUACCUGAGUAAGAAGCCCCGGCUGACUACGUGCCAGCAGCCGCGGUAAUACGUAGGGGGCAAGCGUUAUCCGGAUUUACUGGGUGUAAAGGGAGCGUAGACGGCAUGGCAAGUCUGAAGUGAAAGCCCGGGGCUCAACCGCGGGACUGCUUUGGAAACUGUUAAGCUGGAGUGCAGGAGAGGUAAGUGGAAUUCCUAGUGUAGCGGUGAAAUGCGUAGAUAUUAGGAGGAUCACCAGUGGCGAAGGCGGCUUACUGGACUGUAACUGACGUUGAGGCUCGAAAGCGUGGGGAGCAAACAGGAUUAGAUACCCGAGUAC